AGUAGUAUAGACAUUUUAACAAUAUUUGUUCUUCCAGUCCAUAAGCAUGGAAUGUUUUUCCCUUUCUUAGUGUGUGUGUCAUCUUUAACUUCUUUCACUAGUUUUUUUUUUUUUUUUUUUUUUAUAGCUUUCAGAGUACAGGUCUUUCAUCCUUUGGUUAUGUUUACUCCUAGGUGUCUUAUUUUUGGUACAAUUGUAAAUGGGAUUGUUUUCUUAAUUCCUUUUUCAGCUGCUUCAUUUGGGGGGGGGGCAUAGAAGUGAAACAGUUUUCAAUGAUUGAUUUUGUAUCCUGUGACUUUACUGAAUUUAUCAGUUCUAGCAGUUUUUUGGUGGAGUCUUUUGGGCUUUCUAUAUAUAUAAUAAAAUGUUAUAUGCAAAUAGUGAAAGUUUUACUUCUUUACUGAUUUGGAUGCCUUUUAUUUCUUUUUCUUGUCUAAUUUCUGUGACUAUGACUUCUAGUACUAUGUUUAAUAAAAGUAGUCUUGUUCCUGACUACAGAGAAAAACUCUCAAUAUUUUCCCCAUUGAGGAUGAUAUUAGCUGUGGGUUUUUGAUAUAUGGCCUUUAUUAUGUUGGGGUAUGUUCCCUCUAAACCUACUUUGCUGACGGUAUUUGUCAUGAAAGGAUGUUUUACUUUGUCAAGUGCUUUUUCUACAUCUAUUGAAAUGACCAUAUGAUCUUUAUUUUUUCUGUUUUUGAUGUGAUGUAGCACAUUGAUUGGUUUGUGAAUACUGAACCACCCUCACAACCCAGGAAUAAAUCCCACUUGAUCAUGGAAUUUUUAUUGGGAUUACAUAUAAUCUUUGGAUCAAGUUGGGAAAAAAUCAACAUCCGAAUAAUAUUUAGUCUUCCAAUCCAUGAACACAAAAUGUUGUGCCCAAGAUUACGUAUCUGAGAAACCACCAAGGAGCCGACACCGAUGCAAAAACACAAGGGUUUAUUUACAAGCUCAAGCUUGGGUCCAAGUAUACCCGACUCAAUGGAGCAGAGACUUGGACCCUGAGAUGGAAAGAACUGGAAUACGAGGGGAUCAAGUAAUUUGCCAAAGGCUUACUUUACAGCUGCUGAGUGGCAAAACUACAGUUCAAAGCUUGAGUGCCACUCAUACACAUGUCUGGCUCCCUUUAGCCCAUGCUGCAGCAUGGCUGACAUCAGAGGAUCAGCCUUCCCCCAGUGGUCCUCUACACACCAGCACUGGGUUCCUCCACUCUAGUUCUGUCUUCCUGAGUCUUGGUUACUAAUAAUAUCUAUGGAUUUCAUGCAGCAC